GCUAACACAUGCAAGUCGAACGAGCUUAUAUUAUAAAUAUAAGUUAAGUAGCGGACGGGUGAGGAACAUGUAAGAACCUACCUUUAGGAGGGGGAUAACUGCUGGAAACGGCGGCUAAAACCCCAUAAACUGCGGAGUAAAAAGUGAAAACUACCUAAAGAUGGGCUUGCAUCUGAUUAGCUUGUUGGUGAAUUAAUUGUUUACCAAGGCGAUGAUCAGUAGUUGGUCUAAGAGGAUGAUCAACCACACUGGGACUGAGACACGGCCCAGACCUCUACGGAGGGCAGCAGUGAGGAAUUUUCCGCAAUGGGCGCAAGCCUGACGGGGCAAUGCCGCGUGGAUGAUGAAGGCUUUUGAGUCGUAAAGUCCUUUUCUUAGUAAAGAAAAUAGACGGUAGCUAAGGAAUAAGCAUCGGCUAAUUCCGUGCCAGCAGCCGCGGUAAUACGGAAGAUGCAAGCGUUAUUCGGAAUUAUUGGGCGUAAAGCGUCUGUAGGUGGCUUUUUAAGUCUGCUGUUAAAUAUCAAGGCUUAACCUUGAAAAAGCGGUACGAAACUAAAAAGCUCGAGUUUAGUAGAGGUAAAGGGAAUUCUCGGUGUAGUG
rnacentral:rRNA from 1 species